rnacentral:rRNA from 1 species
AGUGAACGCUGGCGGUAGGCCUAACACAUGCAAGUCGAACGGCAGCACAUUAAGAGCUUGCUCUUACGGGUGGCGAGUGGCGGACGGGUGAGGAAUACAUCGGAAUCUACUUUUUCGUGGGGGAUAACGUAGGGAAACUUACGCUAAUACCGCAUACGACCUACGGGUGAAAGCAGGGGAUCUUCGGACCUUGCGCGAUUGAAUGAGCCGAUGUCGGAUUAGCUAGUUGGCGGGGUAAAGGCCCACCAAGGAGAGGAUCCGUAGCUGGUCUGGGAGGGUGGUCGGCCACACUGGAACUGAGACACGGUCAAGACUCCUACGGGAGGCAGCAGUGGGGAAUAUUGGACAAUGGGCGCAAGCCUGAUCCAGCCAUACCGCGUGGGUGAAGAAGGCCUUCGGGUUGUAAAGCCGUUUUGUUGGGAAAGAAAAGCAGCAGGUUAAUACCCCGCUGUUCUGACGGUACCCAAAGAAUAAGCACCGGCUAACUUCGUG